UACGGGGGGGGGCAAGCGUUGUUCGGAAUUACUGGGCGUAAAGGGCUCGUAGGCGGCCAACUAAGUCAGACGUGAAAUCCCUCGGCUUAACCGGGGAACUGCGUCUGAUACUGGAUGGCUUGAGUUCGGGAGAGGGAUGCGGAAUUCCAGGUGUAGCGGUGAAAUGCGUAGAUAUCUGGAGGAACACCGGUGGCGAAGGCGGCAUCCUGGACCGAGACUGACGCUGAGGAGCGAAAGCCAGGGGAGCAAACGGG
rnacentral:rRNA from 1 species